AGCAAUGCUAGCGUCUGAACUGCAGGAACAAAUCAAAGGCUAUGGCUGUAGUUGUACAUCUACUGCAUUCUUCUGGAAAAAUAUCCCGACUUUUGCAUGAUGGGAUAGCCAUUUCCAGCUCAGCUGUAGUAGCCAGCAGAAGAAACUCUAUGCAACUGGAGACCAAGCUCAGUAACCAUGAAUAACGAGAGCCUGAAGACCAUUCUCAGUCCCAGGCUUCAUGCAGACCAAUACAAGGCACUGUUGCAAUACCAUUCCAGUUAAGUUUCUGCCUUACUUUUAAUUAUUCAUUACCAGUCAGAAUUCCUGUAGCUUUCUUAGCAGUUAUGUAUUCCAGAAGCCAAACAAAGAAUAACAAUGAAAGAAUUUGAAUCCAUUAUUUUAGCUAAAUAAUUCUAAAUGCCUCUUAUUCUAAAUUUUAUUUAAAAAUGAAUAUGUGAAUGCAAACUAUUUUUUUUUUGUUCAAUUACGUUAUCACAUAUAAAUUGUGGGUAAAUCAGAUAUUUGCAAAAGUUUUUUCUUAAAAGUUGGAGAAUAGGGCAAGUUUAAAUAUUCACAGAUGUGAAAAUGAGCAUCUAAGCAUUUCAUUCCUCUACUGGGUAAAACAGAGCAGCUGAAUUUUCAUGUCUCUGGAGGGAGCAUGUACCCAGAUUUCAUUAUUCACAGGAGUCUUACAUGAUUCCUCAGACACUGCAAUGAAAAAUAUAUUCCCAGUUGUAUUUCUUAUUAAAAAAUAUUUGUUAAAUGGAGGUUAUUUACCUGUAAGUGAGGGUACCCUCUCUGUAUUCCACACGUGAGUACAUAUGUGCCGCAUGUGCCUGAGACCAGAGGUUUCUAGCAAGUAGUAUCUAUUGGUCUGCAGUUUCUCCCCUCAUGCUGUGUACCAUAGGUAUAAAGUGGCAGUGUAGACCAAUGCCUCUCCAGUUACUCCUCUUAUCCCAAAGCAGAGGAGAAGAAGGGCAGAUAGUGGACUACAGAUCGGGACCACAAAUCUCAAAAAACCUCCGGUUCUUGACAGAACGCUAAAGCCCAUCUGAUGUUGAGAGAAUUAAGUCUCCUCUUCUUGUUGGAACCAUGAUGUUUUGGAAAGAAUACUGGUAAGAGAAUAGGUUCAUGUGAAACUCAGAAAUUACCAUAGGGAUGAAUUUAUGGUGGAGAUGAAGGGGAACCUUCUUAUGAAAUGUGGAGUAAGGCAGGUCAACCAUCAGUGCGCCCAGUUCACCUACUCUUCUGGCUGAUGUGAAAGUGACUAGGAAGGACAGAUGGUACAUUGAACUCAUGGGAAAAAUGUACAGAGAAAGGCAAUGAUUAGGAAUAUGGAACAGCUUCCAUAUGAGAAAAAGAUG